CCUACGGGUGGCAGCAGUGAGGAAUAUUGGUCAAUGGGCGAGAGCCUGAACCAGCCAAGUAGCGUGAAGGAUGAAGGUUCUAUGGAUUGUAAACUUCUUUUAUAAGGGAAUAACCGACACCACGUGUGGUGUUCUGCAUGUACCUUAUGAAUAAGCAUCGGCUAACUCCGUGCCAGCAGCCGCGGUAAUACGGAGGAUGCGAGCGUUAUCCGGAUUUAUUGGGUUUAAAGGGAGCGUAGACGGGAUGUUAAGUCAGCUGUGAAAGUUUGGGGCUCAACCUUAAAAUUGCAGUUGAAACUGGCGUUCUUGAGUGCGGUAGAGGCAGGCGGAAUUCGUGGUGUAGCGGUGAAAUGCUUAGAUAUCACGAAGAACUCCGAUUGCGAAGGCAGCUUGCUGGAGCGUAACUGACGUUGAUGCUCGAAAGUGUGGGUAUCAAACAGGAUUAGAUACCCUUGUAGUC
rnacentral:rRNA from 1 species